rnacentral:rRNA from 1 species
AGAGUUUGAUCCUGGCUCAGAACGAACGCUGGCGGCGUGGAUAAGACAUGCAAGUCGGACGAGAUUUUCCGUUGUAGCAAUACGAUGGAAAGUCUAGUGGCGAACGGGUGCUUAACACGUGGGCAACCUGCCAGGAAGUGGGGGAUAGCUCGCCGAAAGGCGAAUUAAUACCGCAUGUGAUUAGAGUGGACAUCCAUUCGAAAUUAAAGUCGGGGCAACCUGACGCUUCUUGUGGGGCCCGCGGCCUAUCAGCUAGUUGGUGAGGUAACGGCUCACCAAGGCUUUGACGGGUAGCUGGUCUGAGAGGACGACCAGCCACACUGGGACUGAGACACGGCCCAGACACCUACGGGUGGCAGCAGUCGAGAAUUUUUCUCAAUGGGGGAAACCCUGAAGGAGCGACGCCGCGUGGAGGAUGAAGGUCUUCGGAUUGUAAACUCCUGUCAUUGGGGAACAAUGCGCAGAUAUUAACUGUAUUUGCGUUGAUAGUACCCGAAGAGGAAGAGACGGCUAACUCUGUGCCAGCAGCCGCGGUAAUACAGAGGUCUCAAGCGUUGUUCGGAUUCAUUGGGCGUAAAGGGUGCGUAGGCGGCGCGGUAAGUCGGGUGUGAAAUCUCGGAGCUUAACUCCGAAACUGCAUUCGAUACUGCCGUGCUUGAGGACUGGAGAGGAGACUGGAAUUUACGGUGUAGCGGUGAAAUGCGUAGAUAUCGUAAGGAAGACCAGUGGCGAAGGCGGGUCUCUGGACAGUUCCUGACGCUGAGGCACGAAGGUCAGGGGAGCAAACGGGAUUAGAUACCCCAGUAGUCC